rnacentral:lncRNA from 1 species
GCAUAGGUAGAGGUCCUUGACUUAGAAAAUCAUCAUAUGGUGCAUCGUGAUAGGGUUGUCAGAGAGUUGUCAUAGACGGUGACAGGCUCGAAAUCAUCACAAAAAUCACAAUAUGGGUAUUCACUCUCUCACUCAGAAAAUCCCUAGGCAUCAAUUAACUAGGCAAUGGAGAAAUUGAAGUGUCUGCCCCUCAAACAAUAGGAUAUGAUAUUUGGGGUAUAAA